rnacentral:snoRNA from 1 species
GUGCCUCAUGCCUCGCUCUGUCCCAUCUGUAUGUGAAGGGAUAUUGAGCUGGAUACAUCCUCAAGCUGUAUUAGAUUAUAACUAAGUUUGUAAGGGGCCAUAGAGAUUGGUGUAAACCAUGAGGAUUUUUUUUGAGUGCGAUUACACCAAGGUGAAAGCUGGAUGGUGGAAUUGUAAUUACAAAUCCUGACAAUG